GGCCGGGCAUAGACAGGGCCACGCCCACUCCUUGACACUGAGAGUUUAAAAAGUGUACUGGAUGACACUUGCGGAAAAAUUCCUACAAAUAAACGCAAUAACUGGUAAAAGAAAUAAUUGUGCAAAAUUUCAGCUUGAUCAAAGAUUGAGUGUCGGAGAAAUAAUGUCUACAAACAUUUGGCCAGACAGAUAGAUUGAGUUGAUAUAAGCUUUGAUUGUUUCACAAUCUACUGCAGUAGGAGCUAAUGAGUUAACAGACAGGACUUGAUAAGUGCAAGAAAAAUGUGUCAUCUCCAUCCUCCUCAUCUUCCUCCAGUUCUGUCAUCAACAUCAACUCAGAGUGAUCUCCCAUCUUACAGGCAGAACACAAGCUAAACAGAUUGUCUGCCCCUUCCACCUUCAACUCGAUCUGUUGAGUUAGACAGAAAUGUACACUAAUGUUGGGAUCAAACUAAGGAGACAUCGGUUCUAAGACUAUGAGAUCAACCUAACCUGCUCUUUGAUAAAGUCCACAAGUUUUGACACAAGUUUUCUGUCUGUAGCAAAGUCUAUACUGUAGUAACCCUCCAGCCAAUAAUGAAGAAGGUCUAGAGAUCGUCUCUCCAC